GGACUACCGGGGUAUCUAAUCCCGUUUGCUACCCUAGCUUUCGCACCUCAGUGUCAGAUUCCGGCCAGUGAGCCGCUUUCGCCACCGGUGUUCCUCCUGAUAUCUACGCAUUUCACCGCUCCACCAGGAGUUCCACUCACCCCUCCGGACCUCAAGCCCGCCAGUAUCGAGUGCCGUUCCCCGGUUGAGCCGGGGAAUUUCACAAUCGACUUAGCGGACCACCUACGUGCGCUUUAUGCCCAGUAAUUCCGAACAACGUUUGCAACCUCUGUCUUACCGCGGCUGCUGGCAC
rnacentral:rRNA from 2 species